CCUCUGUUUUGUUCAACUGUAAGAUAGUCUACGGUUAAAACCCCGGAUCCCCAAUUUCACCCUCUUCAGUAAACUCGUACGCCGAGGGAGUUCGAGAGAUCUGUAAUUCGACUUCGCUGCUAUCCCCAUAUAAAUAUAUUCAGAUUCAUUCUGUUUUUCACACAACGAUCUCACUUUUUUCCGGUUACAUUCUGAUCGACUAGGUUUCACUUUUUUUUUCCCUGAAUCCUUACAGAUCUCUGCUGUAGUUUCAAAAUGGCUCAGCCUCUGGUGAAGAAGGACGAUGAUCGCGAUGACGAAAGUACGUUUUUUUAAUUCCCGUUUCCGCUGUGUUUACUUUGAUUAGAGAACGAGCUUAAUUUUCUCGGUUGUUUUUAAUUUAAUUGAUUCGAUUGUGCUUUUGCCUGUGUAUAGAUCUGCAUUUUGGUUUAGAUUCUAAAUUAACAUUUAUUUGGCUAAGUGAAUCUGAAAGAUAAUUAUGGCCGAUUCCUUAUGAAUCAGCUUUUGCUACUAGCUGUUUUUUUCCCUAACUUUCUUUUCAUAACUACUUCUCAGAUGUGCAACGUGUAUUUCAGUCAUAUAUCGUUAUUAGGAAUAUUUAGUGGUGUAGUGUGUGUGACUGUGUAGUGGAAUGAUGUCGGGAAAGUUAAUUUGCUCAGAUUAUUUUUGUUUAGAUUUAAACUGUAGAAAUGAUCAGUUUCUGCCUAGAUCUAGGUACAUUAGGAUUGAAUGUGUAUUUACUAUUUAGUGGUGAAAUGGCAUUUUCAUGUUCGAUUUCUGUGACAAAACAGUGGACUACUCCCCAUUUCUGGGGAUUGAGAAGGGUGCUGUUCUUCAGGAAGCUAGGGUUUUCAAUGAUCCUCAAUUGGAUGCACGGAGAUGCUCACAGGUAUGUUGGUUUGGUCAUUUUUUUAAAAAGAAAUCUGACGUGCAAAAGUAAACUAACUUCAUUUCUGUUUUGUGGCAUUUUAAAUUGGUUGGACUUGAGUUUAUUUUUGGGUGUUUCAGGUCAUUACGAAGCUUCUCUAUCUUCUGAAUCAGGGGGAGUCAUUUACAAAGGUUAGCUCUGAAGCUAUUAGUCUUAGCAGUACAUCAUCGUUCCAUUUUUUGGCAAAUUGUACAAUGAAACAUCACAAAUUAAAUGCCCAAACCGCUAUUUAAAGAGGUGAAAGAAAACAAGGAAGAAAUAGAGAGAUGUGUGACGUCAGCUAUCAGAGUAUAAUAACAUCAUAUUUUAUGAGAAGAAGUAAAAUUCAAAGAUAAGAAUAAUAUAUGAUAAGUGACUCAGUAACAAGCAUAGUUUACUGUUUUUGCAUGAUGAAGAGCAUUAUCUUUCAUGAAUUCUACUCAACUUUGUACUUCAGGGAACAAUUUUUGUUUUCUCCGGAUUUAUGUGGCCAUACAUAGAAUUGGUAUUAGCUGAUUAUGUCUCUUGUCUGUAGAUCAUAUCAUCUGUUAUUUACCUUAUCAAAAAAUAAUAACAUAAAAUGGAUAAUAUCACUUGCUAAUGCCUGUCUACUUAAGAGUGAAGGAAUAGUUCUCAAUAAUGCAAUACAUAUAGACAUAUAGUGUGUUAGUAUGAUAUUUUUUUAUCCAAUUAAAUGAUUGUUUCUGUACUUUUCCUUAGACAUCUAGUCUGUUAUAGCUUGAACUAAUUUUCACAGUGUUCAAUGAGCUUCUCUAGACACUGUCCAGCAGUUAAAAAAAGUUGGAAUUCAUACAUUUGGCUAGUCAAACAGAGAAUUUUUAUACAUAAUGAAGUUAAUUAGCCAAAUUGGAUUGAAAACCUACUCAAAAAAACUGACCAAUAUGUGCAAAAGAUCAAAGAGAGGUUCCCUCUCUUGGAGUAUUUCCCUUUCGUUACUUAGUUUUAGUGCCCAACCAUAACCAUUUCUUUGCUGUGCAAUGUUUCUUUUUUAUUAUUACUGGAGCCAUUUGCUAGUUGUGUAAAUUCCUGUUUUAACGCAUGUAGAUAUUUCUGUCACACAUCCAUGCUAUGGCUCUUGAAUAGUUCUCUUUAUCCCCUCUUAAAUGUACAAACUGAAGCAAGCUAAAAUAUUCUUGUCUUUUCUACAGUACAUAGAUCUUUUUACGUCACUUCGAUGACACACUCUCUCUCUCUCUCUCUCUCUCUCUCUCUCUCUUCCAGUGAGACUUCCACCUAAGUUGUUUUGAUUUGUAGGCUGAGGCUACAGGAGUCUUCUUUGCUGUCACAAAACUCUUUCAGUCAAAGGAUAUUGGUCUCAGGAGAAUGGUGUACCUGAUAAUUAAAGAGCUUUCUC
rnacentral:lncRNA from 1 species